UAGGGAAUCUUCGGCAAUGGACGAAAGUCUGACCGAGCAACGCCGCGUGAGUGAAGAAGGUUUUCGGAUCGUAAAACUCUGUUGUUAGAGAAGAACAAGGACGUUAGUAACUGAACGUCCCCUGACGGUAUCUAACCAGAAAGCCACGGCUAACUACGUGCCAGCAGCCGCGGUAAUACGUAGGUGGCAAGCGUUGUCCGGAUUUAUUGGGCGUAAAGCGAGCGCAGGCGGUUUCUUAAGUCUGAUGUGAAAGCCCCCGGCUCAACCGGGGAGGGUCAUUGGAAACUGGGAGGCUUGAGUGCGGAAGAGGAGAGUGGAAUUCCAUGGGUAGCGGUGAAAUGCGUAGAUAUAUGGAGGAACACCGGUGGCGAAGGCGGCUCUCUGGUCUGUAACUGACGCUGAGGCUCGAAAGCGUGGGGAGCAAACAGG
rnacentral:rRNA from 1 species